CUCUGUCACCUAGGCUGGAGUGCAGUGGCACAAUCCCAGCUCACUGCAACCUCCACCUCCUGGGCUCAAGCAAUUAUCCUGUCUCUGUCUUCUGAGUGGCUGAGACUACAGGCCUGCACCACUGUGUCCAGCUAAUUUUGUAUUUUCAGUAGAGACAGGGUUUCCCUAUGUUGCCCAGGCCGAUCUCUAACUCCUGAGCUCAGGUGAUCCGGCUGCCUCACCGCCUCCCAAAAUUCUGGAAUUACUGGCCUGAACCACCUUGCCUGGCCUCCAGGAAGGAUUCUACCUGAUGACUCUCCAGCCUCGAAAGCAGAAGUAGUAUAGUUUCUGAGAAAGUUUGUUUGCAUUGCUUAGGAUUUGUAACAAGCCUCUUUAAAAAAGGAUAGGAAGAAGCCCAAGGGCAUUAAUAAGAGGCGAUAAGGGAGCCUAACUUCCCUGUUUGGCUAUUAUACUUUGCAAAAUCACUUCGAAUCUCCAAAGAGGAGGAGAUUUCUACUCUUUCAAGUUGCUAGGGCACCCACAGAUCUGCUUAUUUCACGCAGCAUCUCUCUGCCCUUACAAUCUUUCCACUCCACCUCACCAUCCUCUUUUAGCACAAUUAGUGAGCUCUUUUCUAUGUGUGUUCCACACAAUUCCCUUUUGUCUUAUGUUGGGAGGUUGCUGAAAUCCCUUUGAGAAACAGGUCACUGUUAUUCUGACAGGUGGCCAGCUUUAAGCCUGCCAUCAUCUCCAUCAUUUAAGUAAAUAAAUACCGUGACCCAGGUCUUAAGUAGGGAGAAACGGAAGCUGGGAGGAUUUGGGAUUUGUCAAUUGUAGAUGAAACACUUGCUGUGUCUCAGAAUAAUGCCCCAUCCCCACGCUCACCCAGCAAGGAUGUACAGCUUUGGCAGAGUCAACAUCCAGGUUCUACUGUGAGAACAAAGUUGGAGACAUAAGGAGGAGUGUGAGAGUACCACAGACAGGUAGAAGCAGAGACUCUGCAGCAUGCCAUUCCAUGUGCCCUGAAGCUCUGAGGAAUUGCAAAAGGUCUAACUUGGCUGAAGGCAAAGCUCCAAGGUUAGUAAGGAGAGCCGAUUGCCGGACUCUGCAUCACCAACUGAGUACCUGGGUGUGCUUCAUGCUCUC
rnacentral:lncRNA from 13 species